GAUGAACGCUAGCGGCAGGCUUAACACAUGCAAGUCGAGGGGUAUAGUAGCAAUACUAGAGACCGGCGCACGGGUGCGUAACGCGUAUGCAACCUACCUUGAACAGGGGAAUAGCCCAGAGAAAUUUGGAUUAAUGCCCCAUAGCGUAUUGAGUUGGCAUCAACACAAUACUAAAGUCACAACGGUUCAAGAUGGGCAUGCGUCCCAUUAGUUAGUUGGUAAGGUAACGGCUUACCAAGACGAUGAUGGGUAGGGGUCCUGAGAGGGAGAUCCCCCACACUGGUACUGAGACACGGACCAGACUCCUACGGGAGGCAGCAGUGAGGAAUAUUGGUCAAUGGGCGCAAGCCUGAACCAGCCAUGCCGCGUGCAGGAUGAAGCAUCUAUGGUGUGUAAACUGCUUUUGUACGGGAAGAAACAGCUCUUCGUGAAGAGCCUUGACGGUACCGUAAGAAUAAGGAUCGGCUAACUCCGUGCCAGCAGCCGAC
rnacentral:rRNA from 1 species